rnacentral:rRNA from 1 species
GACAGAGGGUGCAAACGUUGUUCGGAUUUACUGGGCGUAAAGCGUGUGUAGGCGGCUUCGUAAGUUGGAUGUGAAAUCCCACGGCUCAACCGUGGACGUGCAUCCAAAACUACGUCGCUGGAGUCUCGGAGAGGAAGGUGGAAUGCUUGGUGUAGAGGUGAAAUUCGUAGAUAUCGGGAGGAAUACCAGUGGCGAAGGCGGCCUUCUGGACGGAUACUGACGCUGAGGCGCGAAAGCUAGGGGAGCAAACGGG